rnacentral:rRNA from 1 species
UGGCGGACGGGUGAGUAACGCGUAAAGAACUUGCCCUUUAGACUGGGAUAACAGAGGGAAACUUCUGAUAAUACUGGAUAAGUUAGUAUAUCGCAUGAUAUGCAAAUGAAAGCUACGGCACUAAAGGAGAGCUUUGCGUCCUAUUAGCUAGUUGGUAAGGUAAGAGCUUACCAAGGCGAUGAUAGGUAGCCGGCCUGAGAGGGUGGACGGCCACAAGGGGACUGAGAUACGGCCCUUACUCCUACGGGAGGCAGCAGGC